rnacentral:piRNA from 1 species
UACAUAGUGAGUUCGAGAAUAGUCAAACCU